rnacentral:rRNA from 1 species
UGAGGAAUAUUGGUCAAUGGGCGAGAGCCUGAACCAGCCAAGUAGCGUGCAGGAUGACGGCCCUAUGGGUUGUAAACUGCUUUUAUGUGGGGAUAAAGUGCGUGACGUGUCAUGCAUUGCAGGUACCACAUGAAUAAGGACCGGCUAAUUCCGUGCCAGCAGCCGCGGUAAUACGGGAGGUCCGGGCGUUAUCCGGAUUUAUUGGGUUUAAAGGGAGCGUAGGCUGUCUAUUAAGCGUGUUGUGAAAUAUACCGGCUCAACCGGUGGCUUGCAGCGCGAACUGGUCGACUUGAGUAUGCAGGAAGUAGGCGGAAUUCAUGGUGUAGCGGUGAAAUGCUUAGAUAUCAUGACGAACUCCGAUUGCGCAGGCAGCUUACUGUAGCAUAACUGACGCUGAUGCUCGAAAGUGCGAGUAUCAAACAGG